UACGUAGGGUGCGAGCGUUAAUCGGAAUUACUGGGCGUAAAGCGUGCGCAGGCGGCGCGUUAAGACAGGUGUGAAAGCCCCGAGCUUAACUUGGGAAUUGCGCUUGUGACUGGCGUGCUGGAGCGUGGCAGAGGGAGGUGGAAUUCCACGUGUAGCAGUGAAAUGCGUAGAGAUGUGGAGGAACACCGAUGGCGAAGGCAGCCUCCUGGGCCAGCACUGACGCUCAUGCACGAAGGCGUGGGGAGCAAACAGG
rnacentral:rRNA from 1 species